GCCAGCAUAGCAUAGUGGCUGAGUGUUGGACUAUAAUUCUGGAGACCAGGGUUCGAUUCCCAGCUUGGUCA